CUUUACCUGCUUUGUUCUGUGUCUUGUCAAAGAGGAUUGCUUUGGGGAGCAGUGUGUCUGUACACUCUGGAUGAACCCCUCUGAAGCAGGAGGUAGGAUGGAAUACUUGUACUUUUGUUUAAAACAUGCCUGGGGCCUAUAUUUACAAUUUUGUUAGGUUCUUUAUUAAAAAUUUAUUUGAAUAAACCAUAAUUAAUUUAUGCCAGAACAAAGCAGCAGAAAUUGUGCUGCUUUUCACAGGUUAUGGCUGAAGGAAUUGAUUCUAACCAGUGAAUCUGUACAUUUGAGUUUUAUUUCCUGGAUCUUUUCUCAGUAAGUCCAAUGGAGUGAUGAGCUUGGGAUGGAGGCUUGAUAGAGAUAUCUUUUAAUAGACUUUUGAUAAAGCACUAAGAAAGUUUAUAAUAAUUUUAAUUGAUAAUGAGGAAGCAGAGGAGCAGAACAGAAGAUAGUUUCUUAGUGUUUAGAGACCUUGAAUUUAUUGUUUCCUUUGCAAAAUCUAUUAGUCACCCCUGACAAGAAGCCUGUAAUUUCAGGUGUUUGCAGUUUCCUGACCCUUCAGAGCUACUCUCUGUGGGCUCUUUAUCUGGCCUGGCUGCUGAGACUGUGGCUGUUUUAUAUUCAUUAUUUGAUUAAAGACUGAACAACUUUAUUAAGGAGGUAUCUCUCUCGCUUUGCAGCCGGGAGGUUCAGAGAGGGCAGUGCGCUGCCCAUGGGCCACAGCUGUAGUCACUGUUGAAGCUGAGAUUGACCCAGAUCUACCCAGCUCCGCAGGACACACCCUUUCCAUUGUAUUAUUCUCACCCCAACCAUCAAAUCAAAGGGUCAGAGUGAACACGGACAGAAGGUUCUUAGGAGCUAGCUGACAGUUUGUGUCAAACAAGAGCCAGCACACUGGACCCAGCUGAUUCUAAGGAGCAGAGUGGAUGGCCCAUUACACUUAGAACCCUUGGCAUCCAAAUUGUCAGCAACUCAUCGGCUAGUGUUUCUUUCUUGAAGGGUGAAGUCUCAAUCCUCAGAUGUUCUAGGAGCUUUUCUCUCCAUUUCAUAGAAGAAAUAGGAAAAGUCACCUUGUUCAUCCACUCAUCUGAUGCUUGGAUCUUUUCCAAAGAAGAACAAACAGAAGGGCUUGAACUGCUCUAGUGAGUGACCUCCUGAGGUCACCCGUUCUGCCUUUGGAUGCCCCUAACUGCUCAGAAGUCUCUCCUCUGUGCGUCUCCUUCGCACUGGCCCUGACUCUGCUCUCUGGAACUACACAGAAUAGUGCCAACUGCUCCCAAAAAUGACACAGUCAUAGGUCACUCGAGGGCUUUUUUUUUUUCUUAGGUUAAACUUCCACAUCCUAUCAUUCCUCACAUGGCAAGGUUCAAAAUCCCCUUCACUCUUCUGGUCACUUUCUUCUGAGCAUAUUUCUCGU
rnacentral:lncRNA from 1 species